UACGGGGGGAGCAAGCGUUGUUCGGAUUUACUGGGCGUAAAGGGCGCGUAGGCGGCACUGCAAGUCAGUUGUGAAAUCUCCGGGCUUAACCCGGAAAGGUCAGCCGAUACUGCGGGGCUAGAGUGCAGAAGGGGCAACUGGAAUUCUCGGUGUAGCGGUGAAAUGCGUAGAUAUCGAAAGGAACACCUGCGGCGAAGGCGGGUUGCUGGGCUGACACUGACGCUGAUGCGCGAAAGCUAGGGGAGCGAACGGG
rnacentral:rRNA from 1 species